rnacentral:rRNA from 1 species
UGAAUACGAGACGCUAAGGCGUCGAAGUAGUGUAUGUCAUACUUCCAAGAAAAGCUUGCACUGUCAUAGAUAAAAAACGCCUGUACCAUAACCGACACAGGUGGGUAGGUAGAGUAUACUAAGGGGCGCGAGAUAUCUCUCUCUAAGGAACUCGGCAAAAUAACUCCGUAACUUCGGGAGAAGGAGUGCCUUAUUCGUAAGGUUGCAAUGACAAGAUCCAAGCAACUGUUUAUCAAAAACACAGGUCUCCGCUAAGUCGUAAGACGAUGUAUGGGGGCUGACGCCUGCCCAGUGCCAGAAGGUUAAAGAAGAUGGUUAGCAAUUGCGAAGCUGAUAACUGAAGCCCUGGUGAACGGCGGCCGUAACUAUAACGGUCCUAAGGUAGCGAAAUUCCUUGUCGGGUAAGUUCCGACCCGCACGAAAGGCGUAAUGAUUUGGAUACUGUCUCGGAGAGGGGCUCGGUGAAAUAGACUUGUCUGUGAAGAUGCGGACUACCUGCACCAGGACAGAAAGACCCUAUGAAGCUUUACUGUAACUUGAAAUUGAAAUUGGACUUUAUUCGCGCAGUAUAGGUGGGAGGCGUUGAUUAUAAUCUUGUGGGAUUAUUGGAGCCAUCAGUGAGAUACCACUCUUGUAAUGUUAGAUUUCUAACUUUGAAUCAUUAUCUGGUCAAAGAACAGUUUCAGGCGGGCAGUUUGACUGGGGCGGUCGCCUCCUAAACGGUAACGGAGGCGUACAAAGGUUUCCUCUGAACGGUUAGAAAUCGUAUCUAGAGUGUAAAGGCAUAAGGAAGCUUGACUGUGAGACCUACAAGUCGAGCAGGGACGAAAGUCGGUCUUAGUGAUCUGACGGUACUGAGUGGAAAGGCCGUCACUCAACGGAUAAAAGUUACUCUAGGGAUAACAGGCUGAUCUCCCCCAAGAGCUCACAUCGACGGGGAGGUUUGGCACCUCGAUGUCGGCUCAUCGCAUCCUGGGGCGGUAGUACGUCCCAAGGGUUGGGCUGUUCGCCCAUGAAAGCGGUACGCGAGCUGGGUACAGAACGACGUGAGACAGUUCGGUCCAUAUCCGGUGUAGGCGUUAGAAUAUUGAGAGGAGCCUUCUUUAGUACGAGAGGACCGAGAAGGACAUACCUCUGGUGUACCAGUUAUCGUGCCAACGGUAAACGCUGGGUAGCUAUGUAUGGAGUGGAUAACCGCUGAAAGCAUCUAAGUGGGAAGCCCACCUCAAGAUAAGUAUUCUCAU